AGCAUGGUGGUGCAGCGGUUAGCACUGCUGCCUCGCAAUAAGGACGUUCCGGGUUUGAGCCCUGGCCGGCCA